rnacentral:rRNA from 1 species
CAGUUCAGAUUGCAGGCUGAAACUCGCCUGCAUGAAGUCGGAAUUGCUAGUAAUCGCAGAUCAGCAUGCUGCGGUGAAUACGUUCCCGGGCCUUGUACACACCGCCCGUCACACCAUGGGAGUCGGUAACACCCGAAGCCUGUAGUCUGACCGCAAGGAGGACGCAGUCGAAGGUGGGAUUGAUGACUGGGGUGAAGUCGUAACAAGGUAGC